UACGAAGGGGGCUAGCGUUGCUCGGAUUGGACUGGACGUAAAGGGCGCGUAGGCGGAUAGUACAGUCAGGCGUGAAAUUCCUGGGCUCAACCUGGGGGCUGCGUUUGAUACGUGUUGUCUGGAGUUCGGAAGAGGGUCGUGGAAUUCCCAGUGUAGAGGUGAAAUUCGUAGAUAUUGGGAAGAACACCGGUGGCGAAGGCGGCGACCUGGUCCGAUACUGACGCUGAGGCGCGAAAGCGUGGGGAGCAAACAGG
rnacentral:rRNA from 1 species